rnacentral:rRNA from 1 species
UACGUAGGGAGCAAGCGUUGUCCGGAAUCAUUGGGCGUAAAGCGCGCGUAGGCGGCCUUGUAAGUCCGUUGUGAAAGUCAAAGGCUCAACCUUUGAAAGCCGAUGGAUACUGCAAGGCUAGAGUUCGGAAGAGGCGAGUGGAAUUCCUGGUGUAGCGGUGGAAUGCGCAGAUAUCAGGAGGAACACCAAUAGCGAAGGCAGCUCGCUGGGACGAUACUGACGCUGAGGAGCGAAAGCGUGGGGAGCAAACAGG